rnacentral:rRNA from 1 species
GAUGAACGCUGGCGGCGUGCCUAAUACAUGCAAGUCGAGCGAACGGACGAGAAGCUUGCUUCUCUGAUGUUAGCGGCGGACGGGUGAGUAACACGUGGAUAACCUACCUAUAAGACUGGGAUGACUUCGGGAAACCGGAGCUAAUACCGGAUAAUAUUUUGAACCGCAUGGUUCAAAAGUGAAAGACGGUCUUGCUGUCACUUAUAGAUGGAUCCGCGCUGCAUUAGCUAGUUGGUAAGGUAACGGCUUACCAAGGCAACGAUGCAUAGCCGACCUGAGAGGGUGAUCGGCCACACUGGAACUGAGACACGGUCCAGACUCCUACGGGAGGCAGCAGUAGGGAAUCUUCCGCAAUGGGCGAAAGCCUGACGGAGCAACGCCGCGUGAGUGAUGAAGGUCUUCGGAUCGUAAAACUCUGUUAUUAGGGAAGAACAUAUGUGUAAGUAACUGUGCACAUCUUGACGGUACCUAAUCAGAAAGCCACGGCUAACUACGUGCCAGCAGCCGCGGUAAUACGUAGGUGGCAAGCGUUAUCCGGAAUUAUUGGGCGUAAAGCGCGCGUAGGCGGUUUUUUAAGUCUGAUGUGAAAGCCCACGGCUCAACCGUGGAGGGUCAUUGGAAACUGGAAAACUUGAGUGCAGAAGAGGAAAGUGGAAUUCCAUGUGUAGCGGUGAAAUGCGCAGAGAUAUGGAGGAACACCAGUGGCGAAGGCGACUUUCUGGUCUGUAACUGACGCUGAUGUGCGAAAGCGUGGGGAUCAAACAGGAUUAGAUACCCUGGUAGUCCACGCCGUAAAGAUGAGUGCUAAGUGUUAGGGGGUUUCCGCCCCUUAGUGCUGCAGCUAACGCAUUAAGCACUCCGCCUGGGGAGUACGACCGCAAGGUUGAAACUCAAAGGAAUUGACGGGGACCCGCACAAGCGGUGGAGCAUGUGGUUUAAUUCGAAGCAACGCGAAGAACCUUACCAAAUCUUGACAUCCUUUGACAACUCUAGAGAUAGAGCCUUCCCCUUCGGGGGGGCAAAGUGACAGGUGGUGCAUGGUUGUCGUCAGCUCGUGUCGUGAGAUGUUGGGUUAAGUCCCGCAACGAGCGCAACCCUUAAGCUUAGUUGCCAUCAUUAAGUUGGGCACUCUAAGUUGACUGCCGGUGACAAACCGGAGGAAGGUGGGGAUGACGUCAAAUCAUCAUGCCCCUUAUGAUUUGGGCUACACACGUGCUACAAUGGACAAUACAAAGGGCAGCGAAACCGCGAGGUCAAGCAAAUCCCAUAAAGUUGUUCUCAGUUCGGAUUGUAGUCUGCAACUCGACUACAUGAAGCUGGAAUCGCUAGUAAUCGUAGAUCAGCAUGCUACGGUGAAUACGUUCCCGGGUCU